rnacentral:lncRNA from 1 species
GACUCAUAAUAAUAAAUCCAUAAUAAGCCUUUACUAACCUUUCUUUGACCCUGAACCAUGCAGCUCAAAGGCUGAAUUGGCUGUGAGAAGUGCAUCCAAAAGUAACAGCUGCAGCUGUGGAGGGCAGCAUUCCGCGUCCCAGAUCAAUGACAGCUCUGAGCUUCUGCUGAUCUCCCCGCAGCCUCUGAAAGAGCAAUUCAAGCAGGGCUGCAAGAAUGGAAAUUCCACACCCUCUCUGAUCUAGGAGGAGGGGGUCAGGAGCCUUAGAAGAAGGAACCUAAAGCUGGCCAGGAGGAGAGGAA